rnacentral:rRNA from 1 species
GGAUGCGAUCAUACCAGCACUAAAGCACCGGAUCCCAUCAGAACUCCGCAGUUAAGCGUGCUUGGGCGAGAGUAGUACUAGGAUGGGUGACCCCCUGGGAAGUCCUCGUGUUGUUGCAUCCC